rnacentral:ncRNA from 1 species
ACGGCAGUAUCCGAAAAGCCAACAAAAGAGUAGGAA